UAUAGGUUUGAAUCAUUUAUUAUUCACUUGCAAACAGUUUGCCAAGGACUCUUAAUUGGCAGAGCAUCUGUUAGUACCUUCUAUCCCUCGGGAAGAUUUCUGAAAGACUACAAUGAGUAAAGUGGAGAAAAUUGGAAAUUUAUGGAAACCCCAAAACUAUCCCAAGAAUGAUGAAAAUUACUUUGUAAAGCUCUGUACUGGAUUGGAUCUCAUAAUAGGCUGCAUUUUAAGGGAGAGAGAGAGAAAGAAGGACAUCAAGAUGUGUCCUCUACAUUUGUCUACA